UACGAAGGGGGCUAGCGUUGCUCGGAAUCACUGGGCGUAAAGCGCACGUAGGCGGCUUUCUAAGUCAGGGGUGAAAUCCUGGAGCUCAACUCCAGAACUGCCUUUGAUACUGGAGAGCUUGAGUCCGGGAGAGGUGAGUGGAACUCCGAGUGUAGAGGUGAAAUUCGUAGAUAUUCGGGAAGAACACCAGUGGCGAAGGCGGCUCACUGGCCCGGUACUGACGCUGAUGUGCGAAAGCGUGGGGAGCAAACAGG
rnacentral:rRNA from 1 species